ACAGCGCUAUUUAGGUUAGAGUUUGAUCAUGGCUCAGGAUAAACGCUGGCGGCGUGCAUGAGACAUGCAAGUCGAACGGACGACUCGGGCUUGCUCGAGUCGUUAGUGGCGAACGGCUGAGUAACGCGUGGGUGACCUGCCCCGAAGUGGGGAAUAACUGCCCGAAAGGGUGGCUAAUACCGCAUGUGGUCGCACGUUCAGUCGUGCGAGUAAAGCCGCAAGGCGCUUCGGGAGGGGCCUGCGUCCGAUUAGCUCGUUGGUGGGGUAACGGCUCACCAAGGCGACGAUCGGUAGGUGGUCUGAGAGGACGAUCACCCAGACUGGGACUGAGACACGGCCCAGACUCCUACGGGAGGCAGCAGUCGGGAAUUUUGCUCCGCCC
rnacentral:rRNA from 1 species